UACGUAGGGUGCGAGCGUUAAUCGGAAUUACUGGGCGUAAGGCGUGCGCAGGCGGUUUUGUAAGCCAGAUGUGAAAGCCCCGGGCUCAACCUGGGAAUGGCAUUUGGGACUGCAAGGCUUGAGUGCGGCAGAGGAGACUGGAAUUCCUGGUGUAGCAGUGAAAUGCGUAGAUAUCAGGAGGAAUACCGAUGGCGAAGGCAGGUCUCUGGGCUGACACUGACGCUCAUGCACGAAAGCGUGGGGAGCAAACAGG
rnacentral:rRNA from 1 species